rnacentral:rRNA from 1 species
CAAGACCUUGCGCUGAAGGAGCGGCCGAUGUCUGAUUAGCUUGUUGGUGAGGUAAAGGCUUACCAAGGCAACGAUCAGUAGUUGGUCUGAGAGGACGGCCAACCACACUGGGACUGAGACACGGCCCAGACUCCUACGGGAGGCAGCAGUGGGGAAUUUUGGACAAUGGGCGAAAGCCUGAUCCAGCCAUGCCGCGUGAGUGAAGAAGGCCUUCGGGUUGUAAAGCUCUUUCAGUCGGAAAGAAGAGAUCAUGACUAAUACUCAUGAUUCAUGACGGUACCGACAGAAGAAGCACCGGCUAACUACGUGCCAGCAGCCGCGGUAAUACGUAGGGUGCGAGCGUUAAUCGGAAUUACUGGGCGUAAAGGGUGCGCAGGCGGUCUUGCAAGUCGGAUGUGAAAGCCCCGGGCUUAACCUGGGAAUU